GACGAACGCUGGCGGCGUGCUUAACACAUGCAAGUCGAACGGAAAGGCCCUGCUUUUGUGGGGUGCUCGAGUGGCGAACGGGUGAGUAACACGUGAGUAACCUGCCCUUGACUUUGGGAUAACUUCAGGAAACUGGGGCUAAUACCGGAUAGGAGCUCCUGCUGCAUGGUGGGGGUUGGAAAGUUUCGGCGGUUGGGGUUGGACUCGCGGCUUAUCAGCUUGUUGGUGGGGUAGUGGCUUACCAAGGCUUUGACGGGUAGCCGGCCUGAGAGGGUGACCGGCCACAUUGGGACUGAGAUACGGCCCAGACUCCUACGGGAGGCAGCAGUGGGGAAUAUUGCACAAUGGGCGGAAGCCUGAUGCAGCAACGCCGCGUGCGGGAUGACAGCCUUCGGGUUGUAAACCGCUUUCGCCUGUGACGAAGCGUGAGUGACGGUAAUGGGUAAAGAAGCACCGGCUAACUACGUG
rnacentral:rRNA from 1 species